rfam:Oryza sativa (indica cultivar-group) chromosome 3, whole genome shotgun sequence.
AAAAAGACAAACCAUGGGUUUUCGUGUCCAACUUUGACUGUCCGUCUUAUAUGAAAUUUUUUUAUAAUUCGUAUUUUCAUUGUUGUUAGAUGAUAAAACAUGAUUAAUAUUUCAUGUGUGACUUGUCUUUUUAAUUUUUUUUAUAUUUUUUUCAAAUAAGACGGACGGUUAAACAUUGAGCACGGAAAUCAGGGUUUGUCUUUUU